GACGAACGCUGGCGGCGUGCUUAACACAUGCAAGUCGAACGGAAAGGCCCUGCUUUUGUGGGGUGCUCGAGUGGCGAACGGGUGAGUAACACGUGAGUAACCUGCCCUUGACUUUUGGAUAACUUCAGGAAACUGGGGCUAAUACCGGAUAGGAGCUCCUGCUGCAUGGUGGGGGUUGGAAAGUUUCGGCGGUUGGGGAUGGACUCGCGGCUUAUCAGCUUGUUGGUGGGGUAGUGGCUUACCAAGGCUUUGACGGGUAGCCGGCCUGAGAGGGUGACCGGCCACGUUGGGACUGAGAUACGGCCCAGACUCCUACGGGAGGCAGCAGUGGGGAAUAUUGCACAAUGGGCGGAAGCCUGAUGCAGCAACGCCGCGUGCGGGAUGACGGCCUUCGGGUUGUAAACCGCUUUCGCCUGUGACGAAGCGUGAGUGACGGUAAUGGGUAAAGAAGCACCGGCUAACUACGUG
rnacentral:rRNA from 1 species